rnacentral:rRNA from 1 species
AGAUUGAACGCUGGCGGCAGGCCUAACACAUGCAAGUCGAGCGGCAGCACGGGUACUUGUACCUGGUGGCGAGCGGCGGACGGGUGAGUAAUGCCUAGGAAUCUGCCUGGUAGUGGGGGAUAACGCUCGGAAACGGACGCUAAUACCGCAUACGUCCUACGGGAGAAAGCAGGGGACCUUCGGGCCUUGCGCUAUCAGAUGAGCCUAGGUCGGAUUAGCCAGUUGGUGAGGUAAAUGGCUCACCCAAGGCGACGAUCCGUAACUGGUCUGAGAGGAUGAUCAGUCACACUGGAACUGAGACACGGUCCAGACUCCUACGGGA